GCGGUGCGCGCGAGCGGCCAGCAGAGGGCGCCAGAGAGCCAGGAGCGGCCUGCGGAGGAGCCCGCGCCGGCACCGAUUCCCAGCUCCGCGCCACGCGGACCCACCGAGCUCGCGCUCAGACGCCCCAGCUCCGCCGAGAGGCCGCUCGCGCCGGGUCCUUCCUCUUCCCCAAGUGCAGGCCGAGCCUCCGCAGCCACGGCCAGCCCUUCGGGCAGCUCCAAAGCCACUGGCAAGCCCCGAGGCAGGGAUGGCCGGCCCAGGAGGGAGGAGGACGACGUCCCUCCCUAGGAGAAGAACUGCGGCUGUUGCUGGAGGGGGGAAGCGCACAGCCCGACGACUGCGAGGACGGGGAGGACGCGCUGAGGUCAGGCAGGGAGGAGACCGGCACCCAGACAGGUGGCGACGGCAGAGGAAGGGAAAUGGGAAUCACAUGACCUGAAGGAUGAUGUAGGAACUGAACAGAAACCAUCCUUGUUUCCUGAAUCUGAACAUGGCACCCUCUUUUCACGGUGUCUGUAUCUGCUCAGUCCAGCGGCCCCUCGAAAAGAGGGAAUCUUGAUUUUCAAACUUAAAAUUUGGCCCAAAGCCCACUGCUGCCCACAAUGCCCGCCAGACACGUUCCUCUUACCUUUUAGUUUCUAUGGGAAUGCUCUCUUUGAAGAACCCAUGAAGCAGUGUCAGGCUGGUGUGAGGAUCAGCAGCAAUUUCUUUGAGGAGGAGAGCCCGUUUCAUCGCUCACAGGCCAUGUCUGAGUG
rnacentral:lncRNA from 1 species